rnacentral:lncRNA from 1 species
CCCUGCCGCUGUCUCUAAAGCAGGGCCUGGCCUUGGCAGGCCCCCGCACAUCUGUCUCUGGCCCCACCGCUGGAGUCUCUCAGUUCCCGGAGGAUCCGAAGGUGGAGAGCAGGGAGCAGUGUGGACCGUCCCUGAAGGGCCUUAGGUUAGUGUCUACCCAGUUUCCUUCACUGAAUGUGCAGAAGAGAAGAAAACAAUGCCUUCACCAGUCCCAGGAGUUCACACAUUUUAUUCAGCAGACAUUUCCGAGAACCUAUUUUGUGGGCAAAAGUAGCAGAAAAUUAGGAUAUUUUGACAUCACAUGGGAAAUGAGACAAAAGAAAGCCGCCCUUUGAAGUUGCCUCCUAUUGAAAGUGUCAUUCUGAUCAAAAGUUUCUUCCAGUUACUGCUUAGGCUGUGAGGUGAAUUUUCC